rnacentral:lncRNA from 1 species
GGAAAACACAAUUUUUAAAAAUGUAUACCUAUCGAUGCAGUAAAAGGCUACAAGUUACCAUGAAAAUUUUUUAAAUGGUUAUAUUUCUGUAAGGUAGGAUCACAAGUAACCUUGUCUUUAGAUGUCUGUGCACUGUAUGGCAUACCAUGAGCACAUGUUACCACUAUAAUCCAAAAAAGAGGACAAUAAAAGUAACGCAAAUAUAAGAUGUGCCUUUAAAAUCAUUAUUCUAAAUCCAAAAGCUAACUAAAUGAGCAAAACACGGGAUUCUGAAGCCCAUUUGAAACAUUUUUUCCAUGAGAAUGCCAAGUCUGGCUAAUCCAAAACAUUUAUAAGGGACUUACUGUAACCACUUCAGAGCUGAAGAAAUACACAAGGCAACCAGGAGGGAUAAAGAGAUCCAAGUGUUUAUGAUGUAACAGCAAACAAACAACUUCCAUAGUUUCAUAAAGAAACCACUGAUUCUGAUUUGCAUGUAUUCUUUAAGUAUGGAGAUUCCAAAUGAAGAAUACAAUGCUUUUUCUAACUUCUUUUCCUCAUUUAAUCAGUGUAUCUGAUCAGCAAGGAGACAGAAAUGCAGUGCAGUAGACCAUGAGAAUCUGCCACCCCUCAAAGAUUUUAAUUCUCUUCUGACUGUGCUUCUCAAUUCCCGGAGCUGAGCAUCAGCUCACUUCAAAAUUCACUUUCACCAGCAUGUGAUCUUCUAACACACAUGGCCAAGGCUUGCCUCACACCGUCCUCUUCCUCACAGAUGAAUGCAGAAAAAGGAGAAAGAGGAGAAGACAGGGGGAAGAGAAGGAGAAGAAAUGAUGACUGGACAAAGGAAUGGCCAGAUGAGCAGAUACAUAGUGAGGCCAAUAUAUCAUUGUCAAAUCAAAGUGACAGGCAGAGUCUUGCGGUGGCACCUCGUUUAUCCAGCAUCAUCAGGAAAGGAGCUGGUCCAGAGAGCGAAACCUUGGCUGUCAGAUCCAACACAGCACGGAGGGAACAGAGAGGCUAAACAACGGAGCACAUUGAGCUGGCGUCUCACAUACUCUCUGGUAAAACGCAUUUUGGCCACAGUCAUUAAAAUAGAGACAGUGAUACUGUCAUCGUGAUGUAACGGGACAGAUGGCAGCUACACUUGUGGUGAACGGAGCAUAAUGUGUAAAUUUGUCGAAUCACUAAAUUGUACACCUGAAACUCAUGUAACGUUGGGUAUCAAUUAU